ensembl:lncRNA
UCACCACCAUUCCGGAAGGUGGUGAAGAGGUUUGUGUAAAAGCAGUCCUCCCUGACCAGUUCUGUCCCUGACUCUAAACCCUGACUCUCAACCCUAACGCAGAACCCUCUGAGGGCAGGAAGACGCGCCUUCAGUGUAAAGGUUCGAACAACAGAGAAGGAAGAAGAAGAGGAAGCAGUAGAGAGUAGUGAAGUAGUGAGGUUAGUGAAAGACUGAAAGACGUGAGGGAAAGGCGUGUCGAAUCACGUUACAUGUGGGGUCAAGAAGAUCACUCCCACUGGAGGUCAUUGAUACAUUAGCCUCAGACUGCUGAGCUCAGCAGGUCUUCUGGAGGAUGAGGCGCAGAUGAACUGAGGAGACGGGACCAGCAGGAUGUCAGGAUCAGGGCGGGUUCAGCUCAGGUGUGUCUACCCCCGACCAAACAGGAUCAGGUGAGGUUCAGCUCAGGUGUUUCUGC